rnacentral:rRNA from 1 species
AACGAACGCUGGCGGCAUGCCUAACACAUGCAAGUCGAACGAGAUCUUCGGGUCUAGUGGCGCACGGGUGCGUAACGCGUGGGAAUCUGCCCUUUGGUUCGGAAUAACAGUUGGAAACGACUGCUAAUACCGGAUGAUGACGAAAGUCCAAAGAUUUAUCGCCAGAGGAUGAGCCCGCGUAGGAUUAGCUAGUUGGUGUGGUAAGGCGCACCGAGGCGACGAUCCUUAGCUGGUCUGAGAGGAAGAUCAGCCACACUGGGACUGAGACACGGCCCAGACUCCUACGGGAGGCAGCAGUGGGGAAUAUUGGACAAUGGGCGAAAGCCUGAUCCAGCAAUGCCGCGUGAGUGAUGAAGGCCUUAGGGUUGUAAAGCUCUUUUACCCGGGAUGAUAAUGACAGUACCGGGAGAAUAAGCUCCGGCUAACUCCGUGCCAGCAGCCGCAGUAA